AUUGAACGCUGGCGGCAUGCUUUACACAUGCAAGUCGAACGGCAGCGGGGAGGAGCUUGCUUCUCUGCCGGCGAGUGGCGAACGGGUGAGUAAUACAUCGGAACGUGUCGAGAAGAGGGGGAUAACCACCCGAAAGGGUGGCUAAUACCGCAUAAAUUCUGAGGAAGAAAGCUGGGGACCUGGGAAUAGGCCUAGCGCUUUUUGAGCGGCCGAUGUCGGAUUAGCUAGUUGGUGAGGUAAAGGCUCACCAAGGCGAAGAUCUGUAGCGGGUCUGAGAGGAUGAUCCGCCACACUGGGACUGAGACACGGCCCAGACUCCUACGGGAGGCAGCAGUGAGGAAUUUUGGACAAUGGGGGCAACCCUGAUCCAGCCAUGCCGCGUGUAUGAAGAAGGCCUUAGGGUUGUAAAGUACUUUUGUUAGGGAAGAAAAGUCAGCUGUGAAUAAUGGCUGAUACUGACGGUACCUAAAGAAUAAGCACCGGCUAACUACGUG
rnacentral:rRNA from 1 species